UACGAAGGGGGCUAGCGUUGUUCGGAAUUACUGGGCGUAAAGCGCGCGCAGGUGGUCUUUCAAGUCAGUGGUGAAAGCCCGGAGCUCAACUCCGGAAAUGCCAUUGAAACUGUGAGACUUGAGGACGAGAGAGGUGAGUGGAAUUCCCAGUGUAGAGGUGAAAUUCGUAGAUAUUGGGAAGAGCACCGGUGGCGAAGGCGGCUCACUGGCUCGUAUCUGACGCUCAGGCGCGACAGCGUGGGGAUCAAACAGG
rnacentral:rRNA from 1 species